AUGUGUAAAUCCAAAUUUGGCUCUUUAAUCUCACAUCUUGUUGCCAUAUGGAGAACUGUGGAAUCACACUCUAGCAAUCACUUUAAAUUCCAUCCUCACCUUCCUUUAUUUAAUAAUUUCGCCCUUUGCUUGGGUGGUCACCCGAUGUCCUUCCCCCAGUGGAGGGAUAAAGGGAUUAAUACCCUUUCCGACAUUAUGUCAGAUAAUGCGCUCAGAUCUUUUCAGGACUUGAAAUCGCAUUACAAUUUACCCGGCACCUCCUUUUUCUUCUACCUACAACUCCGCAGCGCCUUACGGGCAUACGGAGUCCCCUGGGGUGAAAACAUGGUGCCUCAUCCAAUUCAUAAAAUAUGUGGCAGUUCAUCUACCAAAGGCUUGGUCUCUGCUCUAUAUACAUUUAUGUCCAAACAUGCAGAAAAACCUUUGCAAGUGGAUAGUCGCUGGAGCCAUGAUCUCUCAAUUGCACCUUCUUCAAUCAAUUGGUCCAUAGUCUGGUCAAAGCUUGACCUAUCUUCGCGUAAUCCCAACCAUCAGAUGAUUCACUACAAUUUCAUACACAGACUCUACUGCACUCCUCAUAAAUUAUUCUUGAUGAAAUUAAAUCCAUCUCCUAACUGCCAGCUAUGCUCUCUAGGUACUAUAGGUAUCUUUGUUCACAUGGUCUGGGAGUGCCCUGGGGUGAGGGACUUUUGGAGUAUGGUAUCCAAUAGGAUGUCUAUAGUACUUGGGCGUACCAUCCCCUGCUCCCCAACUAUCUUAUUGCUGAGUGAUUUUACGGGUCUAGAUCUUUCUCUGAUGCACCAACGCUGGUUUUUGGUAGGCCUUACUGCUGCUAAAAAGCUUGUAGCACAGAGAUGGAAAGCUCCUCAUGACCUGUCCUACCAACAUUGGGUGAACACAGUCAUAGAUCUGGCUAAAUUAGAGAGAUCUGUGGCCAGCAUGCAUGGCGCCCAAGCUAGAAAUAUUAACUUAUGGUCCACCUUUAUUAACAGUAUGUUGGGAGGGUAG
rnacentral:lncRNA from 1 species